rnacentral:rRNA from 1 species
GGAUGGACUCGCGGCCUAUCAGCUUGUUGGUGAGGUAAUGGCUCACCAAGGCGAUGACGGGUAGCCGGCCUGAGAGGGCGACCGGCCACACUGGGACUGAGACACGGCCCAGACUCCUACGGGAGGCAGCAGUGGGGAAUAUUGCACAAUGGGCGAAAGCCUGAUGCAGCGACGCCGCGUGAGGGAUGACGGCCUUCGGGUUGUAAACCUCUUUCAGCAGGGAAGAAGCGAAAGUGACGGUACCUGCAGAAGAAGCACCGGCUAACUACGUGCCAGCAGCCGCGGUAAUACGUAGGGUGCGAGCGUUGUCCGGAAUUAUUGGGCGUAAAGAGCUUGUAGGCGGUUUGUCGCGUCUGCUGUGAAAAUCCGGGGCUCAACCCCGGACUUGCAGUGGGUACGGGCAGACUAGAGUGUGGUAGGGGAGACUGGAAUUCCUGGUGUAGCGGUGAAAUGCGCAGAUAUCAGGAGGAACACCGAUGGCGAAGGCAGGUCUCUGGGCCACUACUGACGCUGAGAAGCGAAAGCAUGGGGAGCGAACAGGAUUAGAUACCCUGGUAGUCCAUGCCGUAAACGUUGGGAACUAGGUGUGGGUCUCAUUCCACGAGAUCCGUGCCGCAGCUAACGCAUUAAGUUCCCCGCCUGGGGAGUACGGCCGCAAGGCUAAAACUCAAAGGAAUUGACGGGGGCCCGCACAAGCGGCGGAGCAUGUGGAUUAAUUCGAUGCAACGCGAAGAACCUUACCAAGGCUUGACAUAUACCGGAAACAUCCAGAGAUGGGUGCCCCGCAAGGUCGGUAUACAGGUGGUGCAUGGUUGUCGUCAGCUCGUGUCGUGAGAUGUUGGGUUAAGUCCCGCAACGAGCGCAACCCUCGUUCUAUGUUGCCAGCACGUGAUGGUGGGGACUCAUAGGAGACUGCCGGGGUCAACUCGGAGGAAGGUGGGGAUGAGGUCAAAUCAUCAUGCCCCUUAUGUCUUGGGCUUCACACAUGCUACAAUGGCCGGUACAAAGGGCUGCGAAACCGCAAGGUGGAGCGAAUCCCAAAAAACCGGUCUCAGUUCGGAUUGGGGUCUGCAACUCGACCCCAUGAAGUUGGAGUCGCUAGUAAUCGCAGAUCAGCAACGCUGCGGUGAAUACGUUCCCGGGCCUUGUACACACCGCCCGUCAAGUCACGAAAGUCGGUAACACCCGAAGCCGGUGGCCCAACCCU